UACGUAGGGGGCUAGCGUUGUCCGGAAUCAUUGGGCGUAAAGAGCGUGUAGGCGGCCAGGUAGGUCUGCUGUGAAAACUCGAGGCUCAACCUCGAGACGUCGGCGGAAACCAUCUGGCUAGAGUCCGGAAGAGGAGAGUGGAAUUCCUGGUGUAGCGGUGAAAUGCGCAGAUAUCAGGAAGAACACCCGUGGCGAAGGCGGCCACCUAGCCCACUCCUGACGCUGAGGCGCGACAGCGUGGGGAGCGAACUGG
rnacentral:rRNA from 1 species